rnacentral:ncRNA from 1 species
UCUAACUUUUCUAUGAUACUCAACAUUAAUACCAUGGAAAAGUAUAAAAAAGGAGGAUAAACCCGUCAGACUCACGGUGCGGCAGUGUGGAGACCUGUCUUAAAGCUCCCGGAAUUUUGCUUUCCGGUCAGCGAGAACGCACGCGAAAUAGUAGGUGCAUUUAGAGUCAAAAAACUAUGGCA